rnacentral:rRNA from 1 species
CAGUAGCCGCGGUAAUACGUAGGGUGCAAGCGUUAAUCGGAAUUACUGGGCGUAAAGCGUGCGCAGGCGGUUAUAUAAGACAGAUGUGAAAUCCCCGGGCUCAACCUGGGAACUGCAUUUGUGACUGUAUAGCUAGAGUACGGCAGAGGGGGAUGGAAUUCCGCGUGUAGCAGUAAAAUGCGUAGAUAUGCGGAGGAACACCGAUGGCGAAGGCAAUCCCCUGGGCCUGUACUGACGCUCAUGCACGAAAGCGUGGGGAGCAAACAGGAUUAGAUACCCCCGUAGUCCCUGUCUCUUAUAC